GGGUGCGAGGGCGAUCUGGCUGUGACAUCUGUCACCCCAUUGAUGGCCAGGGUUGAUUCGGCUGAUCUGGCGGGCCAGGCGGUGUCCCCUCCUCCCUCACCGACCCACGUGCGUCGCUCCCGAAGCUGUGCACUCGGUGGAAGAGGUGGAGGAGGAGGACUUCCCCCCAGAGGGAGGACCGGUCUCCGGUCAAGGGCGUACGAGUAGCUGCGCUCCCCGCUCUAACCUCCCAGCAAGCUCUCGAAGGGCCGAGGGCAGGCGCCCUGUGUGUGUUCCCUCAGAGCGGCCUGUUUUUAUUUUGGCAGAACAC
rnacentral:snRNA from 1 species